rnacentral:rRNA from 1 species
UCCCGUGGUGAGUCAAAUUAAUAUUGGGUGUUUUCGGUAGCCGGUACGUUUACUUUGAGAAAAUUAGAGUGCUUAAAGCAGGCAAUCCGCCUGAAUAAUGUUGCAUGGAAUAAUAGAAUAGGACCUCGGUUCUAUUUUGUUGGUUUUGUAGAGCAUUGAGGUAAUGAUUAAUAGGGACAGACGGGGGCAUUCGUAUUGCGGUGUUAGAGGUGAAAUUCUUGGAUCGCCGCAAGACGAACAACUGCGAAAGCAUUUGCCAAGAAUGUUUUCAUUAAUCAAGAACGAAAGUUGGAGGUUCGAAGACGAUUAGAUACCGUCCUAGUUCCAACCAUAAACGAUGCCAACUAGCGAUUAGCUGCUGUAAAUCAAACGACACAGCUAGCAGCUUCCGGGAAACCAAAGUUUUUGGGUUCCGGGGGAAGUAUGGUUGCAAAGCUGAAACUAAAGGAAUACGGAACGCCCCCUGAUGUC